rnacentral:rRNA from 1 species
UACGAAGGGGGCUAGCGUUGCUCGGAAUCACUGGGCGUAAAGCGCACGUAGGCGGAUUGUUAAGUCAGGGGUGAAAUCCUGGAGCUCAACUCCAGAACUGCCUUUGAUACUGGCGAUCUCGAGUCCGGGAGAGGUGAGUGGAACUGCGAGUGUAGAGGUGAAAUUCGUAGAUAUUCGCAAGAACACCAGUGGCGAAGGCGGACUCACUGGCCCGGUAUUGACGCUGAGGUGCGAAAGCGUGGGGAGCAACAGGGAUUAAGA